GGAAGUAAAAGUCGUAACAAGGUUUCCGUAGGUGAACCUGCGGAAGGAUCAUUGUCGAAGCGUCCCGCAGAACCACCCGCGAACCGUUGUAUGUAUUCUUUGCCCGAACGGGCCGCGAGCGUCCGUCCCGUUGCCGUCCGUGCGCCGCGCUCGGCAGGGGAGUCCGGACGGUCUCGCGUUGCCCGUCCGAACAUUCAAUCCAAAAUCCGGCGCGAUCGGCGCCAAGGAACACGAACGGAAAUAUAGCUCGCGACCGCGGCGCCCCUCGUAAAGCGGUGCGCGCCUCGGGUUUUCGAGCGAUUCUUCAGUCGACGAACGACUCUCGGCAACGGAUAUCUCGGCUCUCGCAUCGAUGAAGAACGCAGCGAAAUGCGAUACUUGGUGUGAAUUGCAGAAUCCCGUGAACCAUCGAGUCUUUGAACGCAAGUUGCGCCCCAGGCCAUACGGUCGAGGGCACGCCUGCCUGGGCGUCACGCACCGCRUGCCUCUCGCCCCUCCGAUGCCCCGUCCCUGGCUUUCGGAGCGGGAGAGCGGAUAUUGGCCCCCCGCGUGCCCCCGGCAUGCGGUCGGCAUAAAAGCUGGCCAUCGAUGGCGAAGCAUCGCGAUCACGACGGUUGGUGGUUCGACGAGUCCGUUCUCCGAAGCCGAAUGUCGUGACGACGGCGUCGUCCUCGUAGCCCCGUGACCCCGGAGGGCCGUCUUCGACGGCAUCCGCACGGCGACCCCAGGUCAGGCGGGACUACCCGCCGAGUUUAAGCAUAUCAAUAAGCGGAGGAA
rnacentral:rRNA from 1 species